ACUCAAAUGAAUUGACGGGGGCCCGCACAAGCGGUGGAGCAUGUGGCUUAAUUCGAUGCAACGCGAAGAACCUUACCUGGCCUUGACAUGUACGUAGUAGAAGGGUGAAAGCCUGACGAGGUAGCAAUACCAGCGUACACAGGUGCUGCAUGGCUGUCGUCAGCUCGUGCCGUGAGGUGUUCGGUUAAGUCCGGUAACGAGCGCAACCCCUGUGAUCUGUUGCCACUCUCAGCAAUGAGAAGCACUCUGAUCAGACUGCCCUGCAUAACGGGGAGGAAGGUGGGGAUGACGUCAAGUCAGUAUGGUCCUUACGGCCAGGGCUGCACACGUGCUACAAUGCCCAGUACAGAGGGAAGCCAACCCGCGAGGGGGAGCCAAUCCCAAAAAACUGGGCCCAGUUCAGAUUGAAGGCUGCAACUCGCCUUCAUGAAGCUGGAAUCGCUAGUAAUGGCGCAUCAGCUACGGCGCCGUGAAUACGUUCCCGGGCCUUGCACACACCGCCCGU
rnacentral:rRNA from 1 species